rnacentral:ncRNA from 2 species
CCCCUACGUCAGGGGGGCUCCGACAAGGAGCUGAGAGGCUGAUGGCGCGGGCCCGCCCGCGCAGCGCAGCGACCCUUUGAACCUGACCCAGUUAAUGCUGGCGUAGGAAGACAAGGGAUCGCGGCA